GUUUCUCUUACUUUUGUUUAUUAAAAAAAAAUAAAAAUAAAAAAAGACGAAAAAAAAAACGAAAAAAAAAACGAAAAAAAUAAAUAAAUAAAUAAAUUAAUUAAAUAAAUAAAUAAAUAAAAUAUAAUAAAAUAAAAAAAAUUGGACUUGGGCCUCUCUCAUUUGAGCCCACAGGUCCACAAAAACCAGGUUAUAAAUUCAGAGUUUCAGUGNAUUGUUUCUCUUACUUUUGUUUAUUAAAAAAAAAUAAAAAUAAAAAAAGACGAAAAAAAAAACGAAAAAAAAAACGAAAAAAAUAAAUAAAUAAAUAAAUUAAUUAAAUAAAUAAAUAAAUAAAAUAUAAUAAAAUAAAAAAAAUUGGACUUGGGCCUCUCUCAUUUGAGCCCACAGGUCCACAAAAACCAGGUUAUAAAUUCAGAGUUUCAGUU
rnacentral:lncRNA from 1 species